UACAGAGGGUGCGAGCGUUAAUCGGAAUUACUGGGCGUAAAGCGUGCGUAGACGGUAGCGUAAGUCAGAUGUGAAAGCCCCGGGCUCAACCUGGGAAUUGCAUUUGAGACUGCUCUGCUCGGGUGCGGAAGAGGGAAGCGGAAUUUCCGGUGUAGCGGUGAAAUGCGUAGAUAUCGGAAGGACACCAGUGGCGAAAGCGGACAUUCCUCGG
rnacentral:rRNA from 1 species